rnacentral:rRNA from 1 species
ACAGCCCCGUACACAAAAAUGCACAUGCUGUGAGCUCGAUGAGUAGGGCGGGACACGUGGUAUCCUGUCUGAAUAUGGGGGGACCAUCCUCCAAGGCUAAAUACUCCUGACUGACCGAUAGUGAACCAGUACCGUGAGGGAAAGGCGAAAAGAACCCCGGCGAGGGGAGUGAAAAAGAACCUGAAACCGUGUACGUACAAGCAGUGGGAGCACGCUUAGGCGUGUGACUGCGUACCUUUUGUAUAAUGGGUCAGCGACUUAUAUUCUGUAGCAAGGUUAACCGAAUAGGGGAGCCGAAGGGAAACCGAGUCUUAACUGGGCGUUAAGUUGCAGGGUAUAGACCCGAAACCCGGUGAUCUAGCCAUGGGCAGGUUGAAGGUUGGGUAACACUAACUGGAGGACCGAACCGACUAAUGUUGAAAAAUUAGCGGAUGACUUGUGGCUGGGGGUGAAAGGCCAAUCAAACCGGGAGAUAGCUGGUUCUCCCCGAAAGCUAUUUAGGUAGCGCCUCGUGAAUUCAUCUCCGGGGGUAGAGCACUGUUUCGGCAAGGGGGUCAUCCCGACUUACCAACCCGAUGCAAACUGCGAAUACCGGAGAAUGUUAUCACGGGAGACACACGGCGGGUGCUAACGUCCGUCGUGAAGAGGGAAACAACCCAGACCGCCAGCUAAGGUCCCAAAGUCAUGGUUAAGUGGGAAACGAUGUGGGAAGGCCCAGACAGCCAGGAUGUUGGCUUAGAAGCAGCCAUCAUUUAAAGAAAGCGUAAUAGCUCACUGGUCGAGUCGGCCUGCGCGGAAGAUGUAACGGGGCUAAACCAUGCACCGAAGCUGCGGCAGCGACGCUGAUGCGUUGUUGGGUAGGGGAGCGUUCUGUAAGCCUGCGAAGGUGUGCUGUGAGGCAUGCUGGAGGUAUCAGAAGUGCGAAUGCUGACAUAAGUAACGAUAAAGCGGGUGAAAAGCCCGCUCGCCGGAAGACCAAGGGUUCCUGUCCAACGUUAAUCGGGGCAGGGUGAGUCGACCCCUAAGGCGAGGCCGAAAGGCGUAGUCGAUGGGAAACAGGUUAAUAUUCCUGUACUUGGUGUUACUGCGAAGGGGGGACGGAGAAGGCUAUGUUGGCCGGGCGACGGUUGUCCCGGUUUAAGCGUGUAGGCUGGUUUUCCAGGCAAAUCCGGAAAAUCAAGGCUGAGGCGUGAUGACGAGGCACUACGGUGCUGAAGCAACAAAUGCCCUGCUUCCAGGAAAAGCCUCUAAGCAUCAGGUAACAUCAAAUCGUACCCCAAACCGACACAGGUGGUCAGGUAGAGAAUACCAAGGCGCUUGAGAGAACUCGGGUGAAGGAACUAGGCAAAAUGGUGCCGUAACUUCGGGAGAAGGCACGCUGAUAUGUAGGUGAAGUCCCUCGCGGAUGGAGCUGAAAUCAGUCGAAGAUACCAGCUGGCUGCAACUGUUUAUUAAAAACACAGCACUGUGCAAACACGAAAGUGGACGUAUACGGUGUGACGCCUGCCCGGUGC